rnacentral:rRNA from 1 species
AGAACGAACGCUGGCGGCAGGCUUAACACAUGCAAGUCGAGCGCCCCGCAAGGGGAGCGGCAGACGGGUGAGUAACGCGUGGGAACGUACCCCCCGGUUCGGAAUAACUCAGGGAAACUUGAGCUAAUACCGGAUACGGCUGGAAGGCGAAAGAUUCAUCGCCGGGGGAUCGGCCCGCGUCCGAUUAGCUAGUUGGUGUGGUAAUGGCGCACCAAGGCGACGAUCGGUAGCU